UUCAAGGAAACUUUUAUGAAGUAUUUCAUUUUUAAUGAAAAGAAGGAUAUAUAUUUAUUCCCUUUUUGGUG
rnacentral:tRNA from 1 species